rnacentral:rRNA from 1 species
CCUACGGGAGGCUGCAGUGAGGAAUAUUGGUCAAUGGACGAGAGUCUGAACCAGCCAAGUAGCGUGAAGGAUGACUGCCCUAUGGGUUGUAAACUUCUUUUAUAAAGGAAUAAAACGAGGCACGUGUGCCUUUUUGCAUGUACUUUAUGAAUAAGGAUCGGCUAACUCCGUGCCAGCAGCCGCGGUAAUACGGAGGAUCCGAGCGUUAUCCGGAUUUAUUGGGUUUAAAUGGAGCGUAGAUGGGUUGUUAAGUCAGUUGUGAAAGUUUGCGGCUCAACCGUAAAAUUGCAAUUGAUACUGGCAGUCGUGAGUACAGUUGAGGUAGGCGGAAUUCGUGGUGUAGCGGUGAAAUGCUUAGAUAUCAUGAAGAACCCCGAUUGCGAAGGCAGCUUACUAAACUGUGACUGACAUUGAUGCUCGAAAGUGUGGGUAUCAAACAGGAUUAGAUACCCUUGUAGUC